AACGAACGCUGGCGGCAGGCCUAACACAUGCAAGUCGAGCGGACCUUUCGGGGUCAGCGGCGGACGGGUGAGUAACGCGUGGGAAUAUGCCCUUCUCUACGGAAUAGUCCUGGGAAACUGGGGGUAAUACCGUAUACGCCCUUUGGGGGAAAGAUUUAUCGGGGAAGGAUUAGCCCGCGUUGGAUUAGGUAGUUGGUGGGGUAAUGGCCUACCAAGCCGACGAUCCAUAGCUGGUUUGAGAGGAUGAUCAGCCACACUGGGACUGAGACACGGCCCAGACUCCUACGGGAGGCAGCAGUGGGGAAUCUUAGACAAUGGGGGCAACACUGAUCUAGCCAUGCCGCGUGAGUGAUGAAGGCCUUAGGGUUGUAAAGCUCUUUCAGCUGGGAAGAUAAUGACGGUACCAGCAGAAGAAGCCCCGGCUAACUCCGUG
rnacentral:rRNA from 1 species